ACUCUCAGAGGCUACCACCACCGUCUUUCACCUAUCCAUCUUUUGAACAGGAACUAACGCAUUGACCUUGCCAGGUCUGUCGUCGACACCACCACGACUCCAGACAGUGCCGUCCUCCUACGCGAGUCCGUCAACCCUGAACAGACGCCGAGACUCCACAGCACCACGCCACUGAGAUCUGAUGUCGUCGAUGUAGAGGAUGAAACUCUGCUCAACCUCUGGGCCCUUUCAGUCAGCACCUGCUCCAAAACGAUGCCCCCAGGUUGAUGUCGUCAUCGUCCGAUCCGGGAAGACCCAAAUCUAGGGUUUCCCCCGGAGCAGCCCGAGGGAGAUGACGUUGCCUGCAAUGAUGAUGCCUGCAACAAGGAAACAGUGUCAAUGACGCCGCUGGUACGUCUCCAACGUAUCUACUUUUCCAAACACUUUUGCCCUUGUUUUGGACUCUAACUUGCAUGAUUUGAACGGAACUAACCCGGACUGACGCUGUUUUCAGCAGAAUUGCCAUGGUGUUAUUUUUGUGCAGAAAUAAAAGUUCUUGGAAUGACCUAAAAAUCAACGGAGAAUAUUUUUGGAAUAUAUAAAAAAUACUAGCGAAAGAAUCAAGGCCAGGGGGCCCACACCCAGUCCACGAGGGUGGGGGCGCGCUCCCCUGCCUCGUGGGCCCCUUGACGCUCCACCGACCUCAACUCCAACUCCAUAUAUUCAUGUUCGGGGAGAAAAAAUCAGAGAGAAGGAUUCAUCGCGUUUUACGAUACGGAGCCGCCGCCAAGCCCUAAUCUCUCUUGGGAGGGCUGAUCUUGGGUCCGUUCGGGGCUCCGGAGAGGGGAAUUCAUCGCCAUCAUCAUCAUCAACCUUCCCCCAUCACCAAUUUCAUGAUGCCACCACCGUGCGAGAGUAAUUCCAUCAUAGGCUUGCUGGACGGUGAUGGGUAGGAUGAGAUUUAUCAUGUAAUCGAGUUAGUUUUGCUAGGGUUUGAUCCCUAGUAUCCAUUAUGUUCUGAGAUUGAUGUUCCGAUGACUUUGCUAUGCUUAAUUCUUGUCACUAGGGCCCGAGUGCCAUGAUUUUAGAUCUGAACCUAUUAUGUUUUCAUGAAUAUAUGAGAGUUCUUGAUCCUAUCUUUCAAGUCUAUAGUCACCUAUUAUGUGUUAUGAUCCGUUAACCCCGAAGUGACAAUAAUCGGGAU
rnacentral:lncRNA from 1 species